UCUCCUUCACUCAGACGACUACAUCUUCAACUGCGGCUCUUCCUCCAACGCCACCUUCUUCAUCGGAGACUUCAAUUCGGGGUCGGGUUUUGUCUCCACAGGCCGCAGAGCUAAUAGUUAUUGACUGUCUUUGUAGGACUGCACGUCAUGUGCUCAAAAGGGAUUAACCUUAGUUUAGGAUCAAAGUCUCUCCUGCCUUUUGAUUUCCAGAAGCCUCCAUCAACAUCACUCUUUCCUCUUGGCCGACAUCGAAAUCGCCCAUCAACAUCAACAUCGCUAAAAGCUUGAAUUGUCGUGUAUCAAUUUGCCAACCACAGUUUCAAAUUGGAUUGAAGCUUGAGCUUCAACCAGGACUGCACACAUGACUCCAUGCACUCCAAAUAAAGAAAGUCGGUUAACUGCUCUUCGUCUUUGUUUACACUCUAUCCUCAUUCCCUCACGGUCUAAGCUUACCAGUUUUAUACACAGGCCCACCCGCAUCCAUUCACCUCUCUUUGCUUGCUUGGAAAAAUGACAGUCAGCCCAAUGGAAACGCUGGAUCGAAGUCCCCCUUUGAAACAACAACACAUUGUUUCCCUCUCAGGUCAUAAUAAUUCACCCAGGACUGGCUUGACAGUAUGAAAAGGUGUGGUCCUUGGAACAUCAUAUAUAGCUCCAAAAUAUGUAGAAUUGUCAAGCUUGGAACACCAUAGCAUCAUAGCUCCAAAAUCUGCAGUGAAAUUGUUUUUCUGGACAAACAGUUGAACUGUGUUCAAGCCACAUCUAGCAAUCGAGUUAAAGUUGUUUCUGAAGGAACAAUUACUUUUUCAUCAGCUACCUGUAUUCAAGCCAACAUCCAUCAAAAACUUCUCACACACCAAGCCAAAUUUCUC